GAUGAACGCUGGCGGCGUGCCUAAUACAUGCAAGUCGAGCGAACGGACGAGAAGCUUGCUUCUCUGAUGUUAGCGGCGGACGGGUGAGUAACACGUGGAUAACCUACCUAUAAGACUGGGAUAACUUCGGGAACCCGGAGCUAAUACCGGAUAAUAUUUUGAACCGCAUGGUUCAAAAGUGAAAGACGGUCUUGCUGUCACUUAUAGAUGGAUCCGCGCUGCAUUAGCUAGUUGGUAAGGUAACGGCUUACCAAGGCAACGAUGCAUAGCCGACCUGAGAGGGUGAUCGGCCACACUGGAACUGAGACACGGUCCAGACUCCUACGGGAGGCAGCAGUAGGGAAUCUUCCGCAAUGGGCGAAAGCCUGACGGAGCAACGCCGCGUGAGUGAUGAAGGUCUUCGGAUCGUAAAACUCUGUUAUUAGGGAAGAACAUAUGUGUAAGUAACUGUGCACAUCUUGACGGUGCCUAAUCAGAAAGCCACGGCUAACUACGUG
rnacentral:rRNA from 1 species